GUCUUAUUGAAUAUAAUUUUAAGUCUAACCUGCCCACUGAAAUUUUGAAUGGCCGCAGUAAUUUGACUGUGCAAAGGUAGCAUAAUCAUUAGUUUUUUAAUUAAAAGCUUGUAUGAAGGGUUGGACGAGGUAAAAUCUGUCUCUAUUUAAUUUAAAAUAGAAUUUAAUUUUUAAGUUAAAAAGCUUAAAUAAAUAUAAAAGACGAGAAGACCCUAUAGAUCUUUAUAUAAUUUAUAUUAAUUUUAAUAAAGAAUAUUUAAUUUAUUAAUAUAAUAUUAUAUUUUAUUGGGGUAAUAGAAAGAUURAUAAAAUUCUUUUUAAAUUUAUACAUAAAUUUAUGAAUUAAUGAUCCAAUUAUUUUGAUUAAAAGAUUAAGUUACCUUAGGGAUAACAGCGUAAUUUUUUCAGAGAGUUCAUAUCGAUGAAAAAGUUUGCGA
rnacentral:rRNA from 1 species